rnacentral:rRNA from 1 species
GUGAGACAGUUCGGUCCCUAUCUGUGGUGGGCGUAGGAAGUUUGAGAGGCUCUGAUUUUAGUACGAGAGGACCGAAUUGGACAUACCGCUGGUGUAUCUGUUGUCUUGCCAAGGGCACGGCAGAGUAGCUACGUAUGGACGGGAUAAACGCUGAAAGCAUCUAAGUGUGAAACCCACCUCGAGAUGAGACUUCCAUAGAGGAACGUUAGAGAUGAUGACGUUGAUAGGCUA